AGAGGGAUCACUAGAGUUUUCUGAAAGAAGAAUUCAAAAUUGGUGUGGGAUUUUUUAAGCCAUUUAUUAGAUUUUCUUCUUUUUUUUCUUGAAAUUUUGAAAAAAUUUGGAUCUUAUUAUUAUCUUUCUAUUAAGUCUUAGCACACAAAAAAAAAAAGCUAUAACAAGGGAGAUUCAUGUGAACUUCUAGAAAGAAGGAUUGUUAGAAUUUUUGGGUAGUGGAAUUCAAGACUAGUUCGGAGAUUUUCAUGCUAUUUGCUGCAUUUUCAUCUUUAUGUAUUAGAAUUUUGAAAGAAGCUAGAUCUUAUUAUUAUCU
rnacentral:lncRNA from 1 species